rnacentral:rRNA from 1 species
CAGCCGCCACGGUAAUACGAGGGGGGCGAGCGUUGUUCGGAAUUAUUGGGCGUAAAGGGCGCGUAGGCGGUUUGACAAGUCUUAUGUGAAAUCUCUGGGCUCAACCCAGAGUCUGCAUGGGAAACUGUCGGGCUUGAGUAUGGGAGUGGUGAGUGGAAUUUCCGGUGUAGCGGUGAAAUGCGUAGAUAUCGGAAGGAACACCUGCGGCGAAAGCGGCUCACUGGACCAUUACUGACGCUGAUGCACGAAAGCUAGGGGAGCAAACAGGAUUAGAUACCCCGGUAGUCCCUGUCUCUUAUAC